UACGUAGGGUGCGAGCGUUGUCCGGAUUUAUUGGGCGUAAAGGGCUCGUAGGCGGCGUGUCGCGUCGGGAGUGAAAGCCCGUUGCUUAACGGCGGGUUGGCUUUCGGUACGGGCAUGCUGGAGUGCGGCAGGGGAGACUGGAAUUCCUGGUGUAGCGGUGGAAUGCGCAGAUAUCAGGAAGAACACCCGUGGCGAAGGCGGCUCUCUGGGACGGUACUGACGCUGAGACGCGAAAGCGUGGGGAGCGAACAGG
rnacentral:rRNA from 1 species